GUCUUUUUGAUAAUAAUUUAAGGUCUAAUCUGCUCAAUGAGGGGUUAAAUAGCCGCAGUAUUUUGACUGUGCGAAGGUAGCAUAAUAAUCAGUCUUUUUAUUGAGGACUUGUAUGAAUGAUUGAACAAGAAAAUUUCUGUCUCUUUUUAAUUUUUUUUGAAUUUAAUUUUUGAGUUAAAAUGCUCAGACGUUUUUAAAAGACGAGAAGACCCCAUAGAGUUUUAUUUUUAUUAGUUUUUAGUAUUAUUAUUUUAAGCAAAAAAUUAGUUGGGGCGACUAUAAGAUUAAAUAAACUCUUAUAAUUUUAAAUCAUUGAUUUAUGAAUAUAAAGUCUAAUUUUUUAAGUUUAAAUUAAAUUACCUUGGGGAUAACAGCGUAAUUUCUUUUUAGAGUUCUUAUCAAAUAAGAAGAUUGCGACCUCGAUGUUGGAUUAAAAUUUAUUUUGGGUGUAGAAGCUUGAAUAUUAAGUCUGUUCGACUUUUGAAAUUUU
rnacentral:rRNA from 1 species